rnacentral:ncRNA from 2 species
UAGAUCCUUCAGGGUAGGGUUAAUUUCCCCACCGGCGGUAUAGCCCGCGAGCCGAAAGGUAGAUCUGGUAAAAUUCCAGAGCCGACAGUAAAGUCUGGAUGAGAGAAGGAGAAC